rnacentral:rRNA from 1 species
GAUUCCCCUAGUAACUGCGAGUGAAGCGGGAAAAGCUCAAAUUUAAAAUCUGGCGGUCUCUGGCCGUCCGAGUUGUAAUCUAGAGAAGUAAUGCCCGUGCUGGACCGUGUAUAAGUCUCCUGGGAUGGGGCGUCAUAGAGGGUGAGAAUCCCGUCUUUGACACGGACUACCAGUGCAUUGUGGUAUGCUCUCAAAGAGUCGAGUUGUUUGGGAAUGCAGCUCAAAAUGGGUGGUAAAUUCCAUCUAAAGCUAAAUAUUGGCGAGAGACCGAUAGCGAACAAGUACCGUGAGGGAAAGAUGAAAAGAACUUUGGAAAGAGAGUUAAACAGUACGUGAAAUUGCUGAAAGGGAAACGCUUGAAGUCAGUCGCGUUGGCCAGGGAUCAGCCUUGCAUUUGCAUGGUGUACUUUCUGGUUGACGGGUCAGCAUCAAUUUUGACCGCUGGAAAAGGUCCUGGGGAAUGUGGCAGCUCCGGCUGUGUUAUAGCCCCUGGUCGCAUACAGUGGUUGGGAUUGAGGAACUCAGCACGCCGCAAGGCCGGGUUUCGACCACGUCCGUGCUUAGGAUGCUGGCAUAAUGGCUUUAAGCGACCCGUCUUGAAACACGGACCAAGGAGUCUAACAUGCCUGCGAGUAUUUGGGUGGAAAACCCGAGUGCGCAAUGAAAGUGAAAGUUGAGAUCCCUGUCGUGGGGAGCAUCGACGCCCGGACCAGAACUUUUGGGACGGAUCCGCGGUGGAGCAUGUAUGUUGGGACCCGAAAGAUGGUGAACUAUGCCUGAAUAGGGUGAAGCCAGAGGAAACUCUGGUGGAGGCUCGUAGCGAUUCUGACGUGCAAAUCGAUCGUCAAAUUUGGGUAUAGGGGCGAAA